UACGUAGGGUGCAAGCGUUGUCCGGAAUUAUUGGGCGUAAAGAGCUCGUAGGCGGUUUGUCGCGUCUGCUGUGAAAACUCAGGGCUUAACCCUGAGCCUGCAGUGGGUACGGGCAGACUAGAGUGUGGUAGGGGAGAUCGGAAUUCCUGGUGUAGCGGUGGAAUGCGCAGAUAUCAGGAGGAACACCGGUGGCGAAGGCGGAU
rnacentral:rRNA from 1 species